rnacentral:SRP_RNA from 1 species
GCCGGGCAUGGUGGCGUGCGCCUGUAGUCCCAGCUACUCAGGAGGCUGAGGCAGGGGGAUUGCUUGAACCCAGGAAGCGGAGGUUGCAGUCAGCCAAGAUCGCGCCACUGCACUCCAGCCUGGGUAAUAGAGCGAGACUCUGUCUCAA